rnacentral:siRNA from 1 species
UGUUGUCCAUAGACCCGGUGA